AUACGGAGGGGGCUAGCGUUGUUCGGAAUUACUGGGCGUAAAGCGCAUGUAGGUGGUGUGGCAAGUUAGAGGUGAAAGGCCUGGGCUCAACCUGGGAACUGCCUUUAAUACUGUCACGCUAGAGUUCGGGAGAGGGUAGCGGAAUUCCAAGUGUAGAGGUGAAAUUCGUAGAUAUUUGGAAGAACACCGGUGGCGAAGGCGGCUACCUGGACCGACACUGACACUGAGAUGCGAAAGCGUGGGGAGCGAACAGGAUUAGAUACCCUGGUAGUCC
rnacentral:rRNA from 1 species